GCGUGGAGCAUGUGGCUUAAUUUGACUCAACGCGGGAAAUCUUACCGGGUCCGGACACACUGAGGAUUGACAGGCAAUAUAUGUGACUCUUCGGAGUUUGCAUUGUUAAAUAUGCUAGUCCUUUCAUGAUUAUGUGAUAGGUGGUGCAUGGCCGUUCUUAGUUCGUGGAGUGAUCUGUCUGCUUAAUUGCGUUUCAAAUUACUUAUAAGGUAGCAAUACGCGAUGAANCUUUCAAUAGUCCUCACGGAUUCACUUGAGUCUCUCGCUUCGCUAUCCUUUCGAAUGCAACGAACGUGACCGCAACCUCUUGUUGCCUUCGUUUAACAUCCUGCAGCUCGCUGUGGGUACUGAGGGCUUCACUCGGUGACUUUGGGCUGAGCAAUCGGUCU
rnacentral:rRNA from 1 species